AGGGGAAAAGCAGACCUGAAAGUAACGUCUGCUCCUGAUUACCGUGGGGAUCAGACCGGUCCUGGAACUGGAGAGGGGCGUCCUGGGUUCCCACUGUUUGAGCCGCUCAGAAGAUUUCUUUAUUAGAAAGAUAUCCCUCCAUGGAGACCCCUCACAGGAACCUUUUUGUUCAACUUGGACAUCAAUAUGUUACCUAAUAAAAUAAAAUAAAAAUAUGCUCAUUAUUAA